GUGGUUACCUGAUGGUUGCUCAGAGGCUCCUGUCAGUGGCUCGGACCCUCUGUUCGUCUUAGGUCCUCGAGAGCUCACCUUGGGGAGGCAUGUGAAAUGAGAUUCAGCUCAGCUCAGCUCAGUCAGUUUGCUUCUUGAUUGCCUGAAAAUGCCAGAAAAGGGAUUUGAAGCUUGGGUGGGAGCCGUGACACAGAUCUGAACUUAGAGUCCUUGCCAAACCCCUCUUAUUUGAAGUUGGAGCAGAUGGCUCAUCAGAUUUCCCGGGUGGUGCAGUGGUAAAGAAUCUGCCUGCUGAUGCAUGAGAAACAGGAGACAAGGGCUCUAUCCUGGGUCAGGAAGAUCCCCUGGAGAAGGGAAUGGCAAUCCAUUCCAGUAUUCUUACCUGGAAAAUUCUACAGACAGAGAAGACUGGCGGGCUACAGUCCAUGGGGUCAAAGAGUCUGCCACAGCUGGGCAAGAGAGCAUGCACACACUCCUGUCUGCAUGAGUUUUCUCUGUUCUUAAACAUCCUGUUUAGGUCUGCCGAGAGAACAAACUUUCUUACCGAGGAUUUUUGGAUGUUUUCUUGAUUCACUCCAGUGGCCCCAAUGAAGGAGACUUCUAGUUCUUAAUUCCAUUUUUCUUCGUUAUGUAUGGACCUCUCCACCUCCCCUCACAGCCUGUCUACCUACCAAAUAACUAUUUGGGCUGCUCAGGGAGUCAGGAUGGCCCAGAAUCUAGAACAUAUCCACAGCUUCAUCCAGCUGU
ensembl:lncRNA